ensembl:lncRNA
GGGAGGACGCACCCACGGCGCUGGGAGCUGAAGAAGCGGAGCGCGGCGUGUGGCGCGUGGCGAGUCGGGGAGAGACUGGUCCUGCUCGCUCGGAGACCCUCCUCACCCGCGCCCGCGGCGACCAGGUCACGGCCCUUUCGUUUCCUGACCCUGCUUAAUGACAGCGAAGUGAAAACAUCUACCAAACGAAGGGUGAAAAUGAUCUAGGGCUGGAGUCCGCCAAAAGCCAAUUUAAGGCUUAACAUUGCAGACCGUUUGUCUUUACAAAAGCUUCAAAGACUGGGCUGCAGCUCCCAGUUAUCCCCACUUUGUCAAGCCAUGCAUCUGAAUGUUCGUGGGGUUGUGUGCAUCGAAUCAGCAAGAGCAAGGCAAGAACUCAAGAAAUAGUUAUCUUUUUUUAUCCCCCCCUUACAAGUCACAGGUUCAGAGGAUCAUCUUUCUCCCACAUUAGCAAAACCUAUUUGCAUUUUUCAGUGAGGUUCUUUACCCCACCAGUGCCCUAAAAUAGCAAACAGUUCCCUGUUCAAAAGCAAUAGUAAAGAAAUUCACUGAAGAGUUUAAUUGCCUGGGGACAGCUGCAGUAGUCGCAUCAUCGUCUCUUAUUAAACUGUUGCAGAAAUAUUCGGUCUAGCCCAUGUAUUUUCAACUAAAUAGCACUGCUUACGCAGUUGGUGAUAUCACGGAAGUAGCAAUAAACCUUGGUUAUCUUUUUUUUUGUUUGUUUUUGAGAGUCUCGCUCCGUCGCCCAGGCUGGAGUGCAAUGGCGCGACCUCUGCUCACCACAACCUCCGCCUCCCGGAUUCAAGCGAUUCCCCUGCCGUCCCCUGCGCCCCGAGACAAGGUCUUGCUGUGUUGCCCAGGCUGGAGUGCAUUGGCUGUUAACAGGCACAAUCAUGCCACACUGCAGCUUUCAAACUGUUGGGCACAAGUAAUCCUCCUGCCUCAACCUCCCAUUAACUGUACCAUUCAGUGGUUCCAGGCGCAGUGGUUCAUGCCUGUAAUCCCAGCACUUUGGGAGGCCGAGGCGGGCGGAUCACCUGAGAUCAGUAGUUCAAGACCAGCCUGACCAACUUGGUGAAACCGUCUGUACUGAAAAUACAAAAUUAGACAGGCGUGGUGGUGCAUUCCUGUAAUCCCAGCUACUCAGGAGGCUGAAACAGGAGAAUCACUUGGACCUGGGAGGCGGAGGCUGCAAUGAGCCAAGAUCGCACCACUGCACUCCAGCCUGGACAAGACUAAAACUCCUCUCAAAAAGAAAAGUUUCAAUUUUUACAGAAGUCAACGUUAGAAAAAUAUUAAUGCCCCAAAAUGUGUGGUAAACUAUAACUGAUUGUACAAUUUGGCAUUUUAGGACAUCAGCACUAAGAAAAUAAGAGAUUUUUGUAUUAGCAGCCUCUCCUAUGCUCCCAAAUAGGUUACUGAAUCUUUAUAGUGGCUCAAACCUUACACAGGAACUGAGAAUUUUGCCUAGAAAUUUAUUCCAAUACAUGAUCAUUCAUUUGUAUAGAAAUAACAAUAGAAGAGAUGCAAGGUUUUGUACUAAAAGUACACCUUUAUUAAAACAGUUUUGGUUGGAUUAUUUUAAAGACAAAAAUCCUAUCAAAAGAAAUAUGACAGAAAAGCUAAAUCAGUGGUUUCACCAAUUAAGGAAACUACUCAUAUGCAGAAGAGCAGGGCCUGUUCAGCUCCCCACAUGGCACUUCAGGGUUAGUGGGCAUGUGCCUUCAGCGCACCUCUCCUUCUCUCUCCAUCACCUUGUUUUUGAAAUGUUUUAAUUAAUGAAGUCCUUUAAGUAUAAAUGUAAAUAUAUGGAGCAGAAGAAUGUGGAUUAUAAAAACAGAGCUUUUGCAGAGACAAAAGUAAAACUGAUGCACAUUUUCGGG